CUAGAGUUCUGAUUUCUAUAAUCACAAAUAGCAAAAAAGAAGACUCUGAAAAUGCUAUUUCCAACAAUCUAGAUACUCAAAAUUUCCCUGCUUUGGGGUGGACAUCUACAAAAAGGGACCAUACUAUAUUGAGUGCGGAGAGAUGACAGAUGGUUGUUGGUGACAAAAAGUUUGGUGUGGUAUUGUAUGUACUAGUAGGGGGGUCCGGGGAUUCUCCCCCAGAAAAUGUUUUGUAUUUUUCCACCCCUAGAACUAAAAUGUAAGCAUUUUCUGAAACAGAUUUUUGGAUAUACAACGUUACAUUGUGUGUUGAUAGACCGAAUCUGAUCAGUUAAGUGUAUUUGCAUGGUAUGUUUAUGUAAAUACCACAACUGGGUCACUCAGGGGGUAGCAAGCUUGUUAAACUUAGUGUGCCCGACUCCCAUGAUUGCGAGGCACUACCAUGGUUGGUGCCCAGACAAGUUCUUAAAAAAACGCUGUGUUCAAAUCAUUUU